UUUUUUUGUAGGUAGAACACAUGGCAAAAACACACUUGUGGUUGUUGUGGGUGAGUAAAAUCUUCAGUUCUUGCAUUAUGUUCCAGCAAAGUACUGAGGAAAAACUACUUAAGGGAGCAAACCGUCUUAGUUUGUAGUCCCUCUAGAAUGAUAUAAUCCAGAUCUGGCAAGUCUAGGUAUAGUGGCUAAAGGAGCAGUAAAAUCACAAAUAAAGGUUAUGCAAAGUUAAAAGUGGAUUUUAACACCAUCAUGACUCAUGACUAAUAUACUUACAGAGCAGUUGGGUGUGCAAAAACCAGAAACGGGAAUGCUCUGCCCUGCAAACUAAAAUUUCCAUAACUUUCCCUGAAUCAGAAGCAAACUUCAGUAUGCCGGCAAACUUCGUCUAAGCACUUCUGCUCUCCUCAGUUUAAAUACUGAAAUAAAGAUCAUAUACUGUAGAAGAAUGCAUUUGAUCUAUUUCAGAGAUUUUUGUUAAAACCGAUAUGUGCAACCCAGAUUCCUACCUCCUUUCUGCGCUGUCAGUGAAUCUAAACUUUCUUUGGCCUUCUCAGUCCACAUACAGCAAACUGAGUUAUCUAACAGACGUCAGCUGCAGAUGAAAGUGUUUGCUCUCCACUGUCAGUCCCCCCCUCAUACACACACAGCUGAGUGAUAAAAAACAAAGUCGACCAGAGCGUCUGAGCCGAGGUCACGACAGGAAUGCUGAUAAGGAGAGGCGGUCAGAGCGAGAGGCGUAUCUGCAUGUUGACAGAGUGAAACAAGCAGUGGGGACGCUGUGGUUGUGUACUGUAUCAGGCUGGGUCGUGUUUGUCUUAAACAUCAUGUUUGUUCUGUUCGCUGCGAGUGCUGCAGAUGAGAUUGGCGAGUACCAAAAGGUCAUUUUCACUGACUCUGAGGCUGAAAUCUGCACGUAAAUCUCUGCACGUCCUUCUCUUCAGCUCCUGACCUCUCCUGUCAGUGAUUUUCUCUCCUCAUUGCUCCUCUGCAGCUUUAACUGUGUCAUCCAAGCUGAAAUGCUCACUUACUACUCCUGUGUUUGCUCAGUCCUGCGCAUGUUUGCAUUCCACUACCCUCCUCCAAUCAGGAUGGACCACGACUGAAUCUUUUUCGUGUUUUUAUUUGUUUUUUUGUGUUUAGCCCAUCUAAGAAGGUAAACAGGAGCAACACAAGCAUCUUUGUUGGGUUGUUUUUUUUGAGAGCAUGGCACCAAUACGGGUAACUCCCAUGAGAGCCGGACUCAAAAUCCAAACAAAGAGGGCCCUAUGAUAGGAAGGGUGUAGAGGAAAAAUAAAAACUAAAAAGUACAGUGUUAUUUUGGACAGGCCUUGCCCAGAGUACUGUGAAAUAACAGUCAGUGUAAGAGACACUGCAGGCAGCCUAAUCGUCUUGUUUGCUCUCUUCGCUCAAAACGAAGCAUCAAUAUAAAAAUCAUUCAGUUUCAUAACGGGACAAAAACUUCUCACAGUAGCUUUUAAGAGGGGCUUUUUUCAUAUUUUGAAAACAAAUGUUAAUUUAAAGUGUCGGAUGCCAGUACUGUACAUGAAAAAGUUUCAGACUGUAAGGAUUAAUGGGUGGGUUUAAUGUGUGGAUUAAUGGGUGGUCUGAAUGGCUCGCUCAAAAAAGUCACGAAAAUUCAGCAAGAUCAUAGAAUAGAAGAAUAGAAUAUUCUUUUAUUGAUCCCCCAUGGGCGAAAUUUUUUUGUCACACCAGCAUCACAGACUAAGAGUGUAAAAAUGCAGCUAUAAAAAUAAAGAUCCUAAUAUUAAGAACUUAAAUAAAUGUAAUAAUUAAGAAAAAAAUUAGAAAAAGGAAAAAGGGAGAAGAAAAAUAAAACUAUCUACAAUAUACACAAUUUAAAUGCCAGAAAAAAGUGGUGGUGUAAAUCCAGUUAUUAUUACAGUUCGUUGUAAAGUCUUAUUUUUUUAAUUAUUAUUAAUUUAUUAUUUUUUUUAUUUUUUAUUUUAAAAUCAAUAUGAGAUUCUAAGGACUUUCACCUUCCUUUGUGUCGGACAUCCCUGAACCAAUCCACACUAAAACACAGAGGUCCAUCUUUGUGGAACCAACUACCUAACACUCUACAGUCAGCAUAUUCAUUAUCAUCAUUUAAAAGGCAAUUAAAAAGGUCAUUUCUGUGAUAGUUUUGAGUAACUGAUCUUGGAUCCAUUCAAUUUGACUGGAUUUGUUAACUUUGUCAUAUAAUUUAUAUUUCCUUGUUACUGUUAAAUUGUAUUGUUGUUUCUGCUUGUUUAUUUUAUUUAUAAUAAUAAUAAUAAUAAUAAUAAUAAUAGUAAUAGUAAUAAUAAUAAUAAUAUUAGUAUUAUUAUUAAUUUUUUAUUAUUAUUAUUUUUUUUUUAUAACUUGCACUGCUGCCUAGAUUAAUUGUAGCUAUAUCAGGGGGAGGUACUUUGACAAGCUUUUUUGGCUUCUAACCUCCCCUGCACAAUGCUGUUUUAAAUCUAUUAUAAAAUUGUUCUCUAUUUGUCAUGUGCAAAUGAAUAAACUAAACUAAACUAAACUAAACAAAUGUACUCAAAUUGUGACAUCACCAGACAGUGAAUCGUCUUAAAAGGGCAAAUUUAUCUUUAAAAAGAAAACAAAAAAACCUUUGUUGCAUGGUAAAAUAUGUCAAAAGUAAAAGGGAGAUUAAAAGUAAAACAUCUAAGUUAAAGUAAAGUAAAAUGUUUCAAAAAUUUUUUUCAAAGGCAACAGUAAAUGAGGCUCCUAGAAUGUUGGGUUCUGGAGUGCUAUGGGAACCUUAAAGGAAAAGUUUCUUAAAGGAAUUUAAAGGUAGUUCUUAAAUGGCAAAAUGGCAAAAACAAUGAAAUGGCAUAAGUGUUUUUUUUAUUAAAAUAAGCAAAACUAAUGAAUUUACAAUAUCUUUUGAACCCCUAAUGAGAAUAUUUGCUGUGGAAAAUGUAAAAAGGCUCUUUUUGCAGCAAAUCCCACAGUCAAAAACAACUAUAUAGAAAAAUCCCUCUUGUCUCUAAUAGUCGUGUUUGCUUUAGUGAGUUUAAUCUUCCGAGGUGGUUGUCAUUUCUUCUUUUCAACCAAUUAUGCAUUUAUAGACAUUGUGGCCUCUGGCAAAAUGCAAAAUCAAUCCUAAUGAUUAACUAUACGUUCUGAAUAAUCAACGAACUAAAUAUUUAGAUAAAAUGAAAUAGUAAAACCUCCAUCGAACCAGAGAAUUGUAAUUUAGAGCUAUGAUUACGAUGCAUUUAUAUAACAGACGCUGGGAGCAGAAAAAAUCCUGCAUAAAAGUUUUUUUCAGCACGUAUGAUCUAGUUCUAUAAAGAUCAAAACAGCCAGGAAAUCUACACAUGCAAGUAUGGAGAUGAAACCUGCACGUGUGAUAGAUCAGUGCUGCAGUACAUUCACAUGGGAGUCAGUCCAGAGUGCUUGUAGUAGAGAUGAAAACACUUACAGAACCUCCUGGGUAUGCUGCCCUCAACGUCUUAAAUCCUGAAUCAGAAAAGGAAACUACAUGUCUGGUUUGAUGUUUCUGUGAUGGUCCCGUCUGUACUGAUGUGCCGUUUAACAAGAAUUUAAUGAAAAGUCUGCAGGCUCCCCCAUGUCUUCUCUGAGCCCCCGUCACCAAAGAAUGCUCCGGACCGCUCCGAAAAUCAAUGUCAACCCUGAACCAACUUUGUCCUGUCAGGACAGUUUGGUGCACUCGACUGAGCACAUUAUGUUCCUGGAGUCACAUCUGAUCUCUGACUUUGAUCACUGCAUGUUUUUGUCUUUGCUUUUUAUCCUCUGAGGCCCCUCUUGAGCAUUGUCGCCUCUGUAUUGGCUUAGCUAAACUUAGGUCCACAGAGGGAUGUUGAGAAUUUCAGGGAUACGCUGUGUGAACAGGAUGUAUGGACAACACCGCUCAUACUGUAGAUCCCUGUUCACACAGAAGAAGGAACUUGACGGACUUGAUUUGUAGAUCAAUAUUCUUGUAUACCAAACAACAUUAUUUUAUUUUGUCAAUGUAACAAGUAGGAUUGAUUCGUGCUGCUGUGUUUUCCAGUAUAUUGGCUUGUUUCUUGUUAGACUAACCAUUUUCAAAUUGUUAUUUCAAUGUCCAAAACUACUGGUGUGGGGAAUCAGUCAGACUUGAUCUAUUUGUUGGGCUUCGACUGUUCUCAUGAGGAUUUUAUUACCUUCGUGAGGACUCCGACUCCCACCUCUAAUCCAAAAGAGCUUUUUCACAAUUCUAUUUCUUUAUACUUUUCUCACACAAAUAGAUAAAAUCAAAACAAUGAGAAAGAAAUCAUAUACUGCACUAAAAUGAAUAAAUAAAUAUUUAAGUAAGAGUAGGUACAACUCUGAACACCUGCCUGUCAUUCUUGUGGGUCAACAAUUCAAUCAUCUAAACUGCUCCGAACUACCUGGACAUAUUCUCUCUCUAUGGCUAUCUAACCAACCAACCAACCAACCAACCAGCAAGCUAACAAAGCAACCAACCAACCAUCCAACAAACAAACCAACAAAGCACCUAGCCAGCCAACCAACCAACCGACUAGCUAGCCAGCCAACCAACCGAGCCAACAAACCAACCAACCAACCAACCGGCUAGCUAGCUAGCCAGCCAGCCAACCAGCCAGCUACCCAUCCAACCAACCAACCAACCAACCAACCAACCAACCAACCAACCAACCAACCAACCAACCAACCAACCAACCAACCAACCAGCAAGCCAACCAACCAACUUAUCAAAGAACCAAACAAGCAACCAACCAGCCAGCCAGCCAAUUAACCAGCAAGCCAACAAACCAACCAACUAAAAAAAACAACCAUCCAACCAACUAACAAACCAACCACCUAGCCAGCCAGCCAACCAGUCAGCAAACAAGCCAAGCCAACCAGCCGACAAACCAACUUGCCAGCAAACAGCAACUAAGGCAAUCCUAUCUAUCUAUCUAUCUAUCUAUCUAUCUAUCUAUCUAUCUAUCUAUCUAUCUAUCUAUCUAUCUAUCUAUCUAUCUAUCUAUCUAUCUAUCUAUCUAUCUAUGAUUUAAUGGGAACAGGGGAACAGCUACAUACUUUGCUGUUUAGUGAAUUAGUUGUGUAGCAUCAGGUGUCUGUAAUCCUUCAAGUUAUUUUAGUCAGUGGUAUAUUUUGAAUGUUCAUGUGCUUUAGAGCCUGAAAAGAAGUGUCUGCAGGCUGGUGGUAUCAGCUGUGAAUUCUAUACAAUAGGAGUGACCCCUCAUAGUGCAGACACAGAAAGAAAAGCUGGGAGUUGGCCACUAUAAAUUACACUGGAGCUAUUCAAGUGUUUCUAUUCUGCUCGCUGACAUGAUCAUUAACGGAUGGCACUGUUAGACCACUGGAGGGCGACAAAGUCUUGAUGAUUGCUGUUGAAACAGGUGCUGACUACUCAACAGCUCUUUUUAACCUCAGUCAUGUCUUGAUCCUCAUUUUUUCCAUCGUGUCUGUGAUCUUUGGAUGAAAUGAUGAUCCUCACGCCCAUUGGCAGCUCAUUUGUGGAAAAAAAGAUCUGUCUUUGUUCUCCUCUCUGGAGCCCUCCCUGCUGUGACGGGCUUCAGAUGUCAGGUUUCACCCCCGCCUUUGCGCUGCCUUGAAAAGUGAAGAAUUUCCAAAGGGGGAGACUUCACAUCGUUAGGGCAAGAGAAGAAGAAGAAAAAAAGGGGUGUUGGGAAGGGAGCAGAGGGAGCAGAGGGAGCAGGCGUUAACUUGACCAUCAUCACAGAGUAAGUUUAAAUAAUCCAAAAAACAUGGUGUUCCUUUCUCCCUGCCUUCAUGUCUUUAUUAAAGGUUGUACGCUGAAGGUGGAAAACAUCCAGAUAAUAACACAGAGGCCGACUCAAUCAAUUUCAUGGUCUGUUUAAUGGAAAAGUGGCAGGUUGUCCUAUUACUUAGUACAGUCAGUGUGUCUGAUGUGGCAUAAUAGAUGGAGAUAAAACAGAGGAAGGUUACAUCACCAAUCCACAUAUCUGAUUAAAUCUGAAGCCUGAGGGACUUGGAAUAAAUUUGGAUGUAAGCGUAAAAAAAGGCGAGUCAUCAGGUGGGAAUUCAGCUUAAUUUGAUUGCAACACAUCAAAUACAAAAACUGCCGGCUUUUCACCUAGAUGAAUAAAAUCAGAAAUGAGGUGCAUUGAUAGGUUAAGUUUUCUAAAUGUGGAUUAAUCUUUUUAAAGUUAUGAAUAAGUGAACAGGUGGCUACGUUAAUAAGAGUCCUAACAGGGUGAGCAGGACCCUGACACAAAGCUAAGGCUACGUUCACACUGCAGGUUAUGAUGCACAAUUCGGAUUUUUUGUGCGGUCGUUCGCAUUACAACAACAGAUGCGGCAUCUAAUGUAAACGGAAUGCGUCCAAUGGUGACAUUUGUCGCAUAUUGAUGACGUGUAGGUCGGAUGAACGCGACCUGAGCGUCCACACUGUGGUCAUAUAAGAUAGAUAUCCAAUUUAUAUCCACAAACAAAAGAGGCCUGGGUCGGAUUUGAAAAAAUCUGAAUUGCACUGUUCACACUUAAAUGAAAAAAUCAGAACCAAAUAGUUAAAUGGUCUUCUUGAGUUACAGCGGAUAGCGUCUCUAUUCUAAAUGACGACUCCCACCCUCUACACAGCGAGUUCCAGCUUCUCCCCUCUGGACGGAGGUUUCUAGUCCCCAAAUGCAGAACUAAACGUUACAGAAACAGCUUUGUCCCUGCUGCUAUUAUUGGAGUGAACAAGUUGCAGAGAUCUUGCACAUAAUUUUGCACAAUUAGCACAUACUGCGGAGAUAUUAUUCACUUACUUAUUUAUGAUGGUUUUAAACUUGUUUUUACCUGGGUUUGUAUCCAGAGGUUGUUUAUUUGGGUUAUUGACGUUUUUCUCCCUCUCUUAUGUCCUGACUGGGGAGCCUUGGGGCGCUUUUAUCAUGUGCUCUGUUUUGUGGUCGUUUUAUAUUGUACUGUAACUUGUAUAAAUGGACGUCAUCACUUUAUUCCACUGCAGAACAAAUCUACCUUCGGGUAUUAAUAAAUUAACCUGAACAUAUGGUUAAAAAAUUGGAAUUAACCUGCAGUGUGAACAUAGCCUAAGUCAGUGUUUAUCACCUAACUAGAUGCAUGAAUGACAUCAAAUUUUAGACAUCAAAUAAACACAAUGUCUUUAAAAAAGGUUAGUGUUAUAGUGACGUCUUCUUUCUUCAUUAUUAGAUCACUGAACAAAACUAAAAUACAGGCUACAGUUCCACAUCCUCAUAUUUACAGCAUCUUCUGUGGGCACCGUGCAUGACCUUGCAUGAGGCUUUUUUACCCAUUUCUCUCUCAUGACUGAUCCUUCUCUGUCACACGAAUUAUUCGAGGAGGAGAGAGUUUAAAAUAGGAGACACUUUUUGAAUCUCUGACAGAAAAAAGCAUUUUCCUCCAGAAAGCUCAAAGGUCCUCACAAUCUUUUGGCAAGAUGUUGGGAAGCAGACACCAUGAUGAGCUGUGGCUGACUUUUCUCACCAGUAGGGGGCACUAUGGUUCCACUGCAGCUGCUCUGUCUUCAAUAUCCUCUGCACAGCAGCUCUCUGGUGUACAAAGAGUGGAAAAUAUUAUAUAAUGAAAUCAUCUUGGAAGCAGAGGAGCAGUCGCCUAGGAAUUUCCAGAAACUCAAUAUCUCUCAAUGUGCGAGCAGUUUCUGUCAUUGGUUCUCGUGUCUGCUUUUUGCCUUUCAAGCUUUUAUUAAAACUAUCAUGAUAUUGCAGAAAGCUUUUCAUUUCGGUGUUGAUAUUAAGUUUAGUGUGUGUCUGCUGUCUCUCUUGGUAUUUGGCUCUGUAAUUGGAGUGUAGACCUUGGAUGCUUCCUUUAAGAGUGAUGAUUGUAACCUUGUCCAAAUACGCCCAGUGAGCGUGCAUCAAGUGCAUCAAGUGCAUCAAGUGUGUCUGAGGUGUAAAUAUUUCAUUAAAUCUGACUCUAUUUUCAGGUUACUGUUGAGUUGAAUAAAUCCAAGUCAUAUGCAGUCCUCAGUGAGAAAAACAAGUGUGAAAUGAAGCAGUGUAAUGUUCCUGCUCCAGUUUUUUUUGUGUGUGUGCAUCUGAGCCACACUUGAAUCCUUUCCUAAGACCCCCUUUAACUUUGAAAUUAAAUUCUAAUCUCCAUUCUCAUGCAAGUGCUUAAAAAGGAAUAAGCAAAUUUCCAUUUAAAUCACUUCUCUGUUGUAUAGCACCUUGGGUGAAGAAUUAAAUUUAGGUUUAAUCAGUAUUGAAUGCGGGCUUACUUCAGGCAUUACACAAAUUAAGAUUUAUGGAGUCAGACUGCUGGAAACCACCCACAAUACAAUAAUCAUUACAGCACAGAUAAUUGUCCACCAUUGUACACAUCAUUAUGGAAGAGAUACCUGUGGAAAAGGGGGCUUCACUAUUCUUCUGCAAAUUAGAGGGGAGUUUCUACUCAUUAUAGAAAAUAUUAAGAGUUUUAUAAUCCAGUCCAAACAAUGCAAUCCUCCGUCCAGAAUGACCCAUUGAUGUUGGACAUCAGCCCCUACAGCUUUAAUGUACUUCCCCACCAUGAAACCAGCAUUGAAUCCACGCUGAAAUAUCAAAGUACCUUCUGAUCUACUUUUACCAAGGUGAAGGAGGAGUUGCAGUGGCUGAUUUUCAUGCUGCACUGCAACAGCCUCCCAUCUGCUUGCAUUGCCUGGUCCUGUUAUAUAAGGAGUCGACUGCAGUUGUUCACAGUGCUUGAACCGCAAGAUUUAACUUCUUGAUUUGAUUUGUUUCAGGCUUUUGGUCCAUCUACCACUUUCAUCUUAACAGAAAUAGAUCAAAAACUUAUGCUGUCAAUUUGGUGCGGACAUUCUUGAUCCCCAGAGGCUGGACCCACAUGACUUUAGCGAUCCUUUGACUUAUAAUGAGACUCACAUCAGUGGUUUGAGGUGAAAUGUCUCACCAUAUAUAUACAUGUCAAAUACAUACAUGUGUAUUUUCAUAGUGUUUUUCUAUUUUGAUGCUGAGAAGUUUGAUUUUGAUCGGCAGCUCUAUUGACAAAUGCAAACUCCUGCAGAAUUUCUUUUCACCAGAUUAUCAGAGUAAAGAAAAAACAUGACAAACACGACAUGGGUCAUUCAGCUUUCCAGAGCCACGAGUAUCUGCUCCAGAUCAACACAAGAAUCUGAUCUGACAUGGACUAAACUGAUCUGAGGGGGUCUUUAGUGUUUUAUCAGUAUAAGGCAUGACUUUAUAGGGCUGGACGAUAUAGCCUUAAAUCAAUAUCACGAUAUAUUGAGCAGUUCACUUCAGUAACGAUAAAUGGAUGACAACUACUCCACAAGCUGCUCUCCCCCUCCCACAUUAACUUCGUCUACUUCAGCCGCUACAACUUUUGAACCGUGCUCCAUCUCCUCACCUGUCUUUCCCUCUUUGUUACGGACUGGAUGGGGUGGAGUCACGUCUCUGACGUAGGACAGCAUCUUGAAGGGACAUGAGACCAAAGCCUACCUACACACAUCCAAAACCAACUUUUAAUUAUCUAUUCUUUUGACACUGAGUUUAUUGACAAAAUGAUAUCAGUUAUUGUCAUAAAUUUCGGUAUCGGUAAAUUUCGGUUUAUCGCCCAGCCCUAUGAUUUGGUCAGCUGAUAGGGUUCUGUAUUCUGUGGGCUCCAAAAACCAGGUCACUUCUGCACACGCUUCGGCUCCACCCAUCAGCACUCAUCUACACAUCUCACAUUUGGAGGCGCAUAAAAGUCCAUUAAUAUUUAGUCAAUAAUUUAGACUUCGCCAGUUUUGAAUCCUGCAUUUGUAGAGGUGGGAAUGGCCUGAAUUAGGUAGCCUAUCGAAACAGUUUGUUUCCCUACUUAGAAAUUCUUGACUCUGCAUACAUGUGUAAUGCACACAAAAGAGGGAAAAGCUAGUUGUGGCCAUAGACUGUAUAUAGAAUGGACACCUUCUGCCUCCUUGUUGGGUGAAGCCACCCUGAGAACAGCACCCUCUGGUGACGGGCAGUAUAGGUCAUAAAUCCCACCUCCUCCAGCAAUCCCUGUGGAGAUGUGGACAAACUUUAGAAAUUAAUUACACAGAAUAUAAAUUUUUCUCCCCCCUGGUUGCGAUGUUGACAUGUAGUUACUGUCAGACUGGUUUGUGCUCAAGUCCUCUUUUUUCUGUACAGCUCCAUUUUUAAAAGUUAUUAGGGGGUUCAUGUUUUCUAUGAUUGACACUUGAUACAGCCUAUGGGCGUACGAAGAUUGUGUAGCUCACCUGAGGGAUACGCUGUUUGAGCCGAGCGUCAUCACAGCGACUCUCCCACCGAAUACAUACAACGCUCUCUGCGCUAGUGGUGGAGAAAAUCCUGUAAAUACCGAGAGCAAUUCGGCUUCAAAUCUGUAUAAUGACGGAAGGUGGAGCCAAGUUGUCCAUCAUGUAUACAGUCUACGGUUGUGGCUGGAAAACAUUAUAACUGACUGGAUUUACUUGGGAAGCAUUUUGCAAUUUCAGUUUGAUUCAACUUCAACAACAACAUUAUAAAGCACCUUAUAAAAAGAGACAUAUUUGAGGAAUUACAGGAAAAAUAGCUUUUUCUUCUUCCUCCGUUAUGUUGUGACUCUAAAAAUUCAACUUUAAACUCCUAUAGAGAAGUGUAGAGUCGAUUACAUCCAUGGGCCUCAUUUGCAAACUAAACACAGAGCACAUGAGAAUCUAUUUCUCAAGUGCUAUAGAUUUCACUCUCGGUGGGUGUCUGAAGAAAAACUCAACAGCACAAUGCAUAAACGGCCUCCCACACUCAUUUUAAAGAAUAGAUCUAACAGAUUCUCCAAGUGUGAAGUAGUAGUUCUCUGAGUAUUGUUGCAACAGCUCAAUAACCAUGACAACCCGAUGGUCAUGUUGAUGCUUCUUCGGAAAAAAAAAAGGAGUCACUGGGGGAGUUGUAUUGAAGACAGUCAGUGGCCGUUGUGUGGGUGGAGGAUGAAGAGGAGGAGGCACAAGACAACCAACCAUCACCUUACUGAGGGAGAAAAAGGCAUGAAAGAAGAGAGAAGAAAUUUCAGGAGAAUCAGAGCUUUUCUCCUUUGAGGCUUUUUGGCACUCACACACACACACACACACACACACACACACACACACACACACACACACACACACACACACACACACACACACACACACACACACACAUGCACACGCACGAACCUCUGGUUUGUUAGACCCACUUUAUAAUUAGACUUUGUGCUGCCACUAUCAUUUCUCAUCUCUGUGGAGAGGAGAGCAGCAGUCCUCAUCACUGCAACCUGCCUGCAAGGUGCUCAUUAAUGAAGUGACGGACACACACAUACACACACCUACACACACACACACACCCACACAUACACACACACCUACACACAGAGGAGCCCUCUCAACUUUAUUUACUCCAGCAGCUCAAAUAAUUGUGUUCAUCCCAUUUCUUAAAGCAGGACAGGUUUAUAACAGCUGUGAGAUAACACCUGCCCCAGCAAUCUGAGCAUGACUAAACAUGCAAACACACACACACACACACACACACACACACACAUGCAAAAUGGAAAUCUUGACAUCUUAAUUAUGAUGUUUAAGUCAGUUUAAAGGCUGCUGUGAUCCAUGUCAUUUGCCUCUCAUCAUUAUGUAAACUGUUCUGUCAGACACAGUAUAAUCAGCGCACGGUAAACUACGUCAUGUUUUAAUAUCUAAAUCUUUAUCAGGAGGUUCUGAAAACAAUAAUGUGUAUGUACUUGCUGAUUUUUACUGCUUUACAUAGGAGGCUGAUUUAGAAGUUAGAUUAGAUGGAGCUUUGUGUUGUUGGGGUCAAUGUAUUUGUUUAAACGUUUUCUGUUUCUCAUGUUUUGGUUGUUGUUAAGCUGGAGCCAAGACACCCAAGAAGGUCAAAUUCAUAAUAAUAGAGAGGCAGCGAUUUACACAUUUAGAAAAAUACAUCAUUAUGAUGCCAAAACAUCUAUAAAAAAGGGGGCUCUGUUGAGAGUAAGCUGUGCACUAAAACAGUUAUCGCACAUUAAAAGGUCCAUCUGCGUUUGCUUUGAACAACAUUUCCAGAUAGGUUAGUGCAGAUAGGUUUAUUUUCAGCAACACAAUUAUGUAACAUUGAUUAAAUUUGAUGGACCAAUUUCAUUUAUUUAUUUUCGUGUGGCUAUGCUGCCGCCUCUUCAGUGCAGGGGUUUGUUUAUGGAUGGAUUCAGCACAUGGCCAAUUAGGGUAGUCAUGUAAUAACUGAGGUCGAUGUUAAUUUGAUUUCAAUUAAUUUUUAUUGUCAUUUCAUUUUCAUACAUAUAUAAAUAUUAAAGUAAUCAUAUAAUAAGACUGUUAGGCUGCUGGGAUCGGCUUGUUCAGACUUUGCUAGAUCCGCUCAAAAUUCGCUCAAUGUGUGACCUCACUAAUUGAUAAAUCUUACCACACUUACCUGCUCUUUGUUGCUAAGGCUACAUUUCAUUAUUUUUAAUUUCAAAUAGAAAGCUAAACAAAGAUUAACCCCCAAAUUCAACCACAUGCAGAACAGCGGGGAUUUUCGCCGUCCGCCAAAUCCUACCAGGUGUGUUUGUGGGGCAAAUUUCAGACAGCAGGAAUCGUGAGGACUCCCAAGAACCCGCGAAUUCACAUGCAAUCACGGGAUUUGGAGUUGUCUCUAUAAAGGCAGACACAUAACCGUAUCAGCAGUAGAUUGUGUCCUUCCAGAGGAGGAAAUCUACUCUGUCCAGACCAGUAGGUCAGACACUUUUAUGAUCAGGCCACGCUAUAUCUUGUUUUAUGAUUGUCUUUAUAUUCAGGGACGAGACGAUUCAUAGAUUAUUCGUGAUUUUGGACUUCCAGAAUCAGCAUCUCCUCAUCCAUGGUGUCAAUGGGGUGAAAUGAUGCCUGAAAACCUGCGACUUGUUCGUCCCCCCGCCCAUAUUUGCAUGGUAUAAAAUAUGAUCCACCUGAAACAUGUAGUGUUUUAUUUUGUGUCUGUGCCUGAUUUCCUUUCCAGCAUGGGUUAAUCUGUGCUGAAUUUAUGCAGUAUGCUGCGGCGUCUGGAAAAAAACAGAACUUUGAUGAUUGGCUACAAAGCCAGCUGAAUCGCAGGGGGCCAGAAGCUCGUAGAAUCUGACUUAUUAACUUGAAUGGAAACCAUCAGUGGUGAUCAGUGCCGAUCCGCAUGCAGUGGAAUUUGAGUGUAACUCAAUGUCAACGAUUUUGACAACAGUGUUUGAGGGUUUAGGGUUUUUAGCGCUGAAAUUUAGAAUAAAUAUGAAUUUCUGAGGAAAAAAUCAUCUAAAACCAGGGAUUUUCCUGUCAAACAUACUGUAGUGUAAUGUACAAAAAGUAUUUAAUGUAUUCACAACAUCACUUUGGUUUCAUUCCACUCUAUGUGCAGAUGUAUUCAAAGGUUUUAUUUUGCUUUUGCUCUUUAGAAAAGUAUUCAAUAUAAUAAUGAUACUGGGGCACAUAAAAGGGCAUAAUCCCAGUGUUUAAUGAGCUCUAAUAGCCUCCCUGUGGUCGCAGCAGGAAUAUUCGUUCAGGGUUGUUGCUGAUUAGAAAAUGUUUAUUAUUCCAUAUUAGAAAAACUCAGGAAAGGACUGCAGGACACACACUUUUAAAGACCUGUCAAUUAUAUUUCUUGACUUUGAUUAUCCUGCCUGGCUAUUUGCGUGACUGAUUGUCAUGAUUCGUUCUGUUUAUUUUAUUUUCUCCUGGUUUUAAUUGAGUAUAUUUUGUGUGUUUUUUCUGUUCCCUAGUGUUCCUGUUCCCCUGUAGUCCAGUCUUGUGAGUUUUCAGUUUGUGUUUUACCCUGUUUCCCCUCCUGUUCUCUGUGUUUUAUUCUUUCGAUCAGUUUUCAGUGUUUAUUUCCUGUUUUAUUUUGUAGUAGUUUAUUCCUCGUGUUUCUAGUCUGGUUUUACUUCCCUAGUUUUCCCUCCUUCGUUAAUCGCCCAUGAGUUUCACCUGUGUCUCGUUUGCCUCACCUGUUGCUCGUUUCCCAGUGUGUGUAUAUAGUCCCUGUUUUCUCCUUUGUCUUUGUUGGUUCAUUGUGCAUUGAUGUGUGCGCGUAUGCUUGUAUCCCCAGUGUCUUUUGUUGGAUUUUGCCUUUUGACUGGACAUUUUAAAGUAAGUUUUUGCUGCUUUUCAUUCGGUUAUUUUAAAUAAAUAAUUUUCUUGUCUACGUUUUUGGUCAUUUCCCCUUUGUUUUUACUCUGGCACGUUACACUGGUAGCCAUUUAUUGAAGGUGAAAGUGUGAGAAAAAGACCUGAAAGCAGUUUGUGGUUUACAAAUAACUUUAACGGAGGAUAAAAUAGUAAACAUUUAAUGGCUUCAAUCGUAAAAUUCAUUCCAUUAUUCCAAAAUAUAUGUUUAUCUUCAUUAUUUGUUUAAGUCUUUGAUUUAUCUGCCAUCCAGUUGCUUUAAAAUUGAACCAUUAAAUGUGCCGUGCUCCAUUAAUCCACUAUUGAACAACAAACAGCGAUUAACUGCAUGACUGUGUGAAUAAAGAUCAAUCGAAGGUUUUCUAUUAUUAUCACACGCCUGGAUGAUUAAAAGCUAUCCUACCUGCUUCUAGCAUUUCAUUAAAAGGCUCUCACAUAUGCGCAUGUUGUUUUAUUAAAAUUCUAUCACAUUAAAGAGAUAAUUGAUUCGCUGAAUUUAUCUUAUCAUAUUACUGUCCCAUCAUAUCAGCUCCAGUAUCCAAUUACCGAGCAGAUUUCCAGCCCAGAGGCCAGCUGAUGCCUUUUGAACUAAGUCAUAAAACAUGCAUGGUCCAGUGGUGCCAUUUUCCAGCGUAAACCACUCAUUCCAGCAGUAUUGAUCCCUUAUAGAAAACAAGCCCUCAUUAUUUUUUCACAACUUUGUUUCAAGGGUGUCAGAUUUACUAUAGUCUCAUAUAAUAGAGAAAGGUAACAAAAACAGAAGGGAAGGGGAACAAAGGGACAAAUAUGAUUAAAGAAAAAACACAAUAAAAUGUGUAUGAUUUUAAUAAAUGUAAAAGAUAAUGCCCAGUUAGGUGUCUAUUGUUAGAUUUCUUUGGAUGAAAACCUGUAGACAUCCAUUCUAUGAUCAAUCAUUGAUAAUAUUUGUUGGUUUUGUAUUCAUGAUCUUGAGUUUUUCUCCAGGCUAAAAUCUCUUGUGUUGAGUUCUUUUAAAGUUUUAUAUUUCUACUCUGUAAAACCUUCAAAGUAGCUCUGUGUGAUUUACAAAAGAAAAAAAAAAAAACUAUCUAUCCCUCCAAGGUAUCUGUGGAAUCUCUUAGUUCUUGAGCACAGGAGAUUUCAGGCAAGUUCCCGCCUCCCUACAAGCCCUCUCUCCUCGGUUUGUCCAUCUCUUUGGGACAAUGUGGGAAAAAUUACUGAUCCUGUCGGGCAUAUGACCAUAUAAGGAGUUCAGUGACUUUGUGGUGCCGCAAAAUGGUAGGAAGAAAAAAACACCUGAAACCUGGCAUUUCAGUAUUUACAUUUACCAACUGAAGACGUACAGCAACUCUUGAAGGGAUGCUCCAGCACACAGUCAAACACACAGUAACACCGAGUUAGAACGUCCCCUGUUGCUGACUGCUUGCUUCUCUAGUUAUACCAACUUUUGCAACGACCGCAGGAUAGCGAUACACAGCGGACUACGUCUCCAUCUGUAAACCUCAACCAAAACGCCACUCUAUAAUGUUCAGAACAGCACCUAACCUCAUCAACAGCACAUAUAGGGUCCCGGCCAUAGCACUAGCCACCAAACAUCUUUUUAGCUUCGCCUAAUUUCUUUAGCAAAGAGACGAAACACAACUCACCCACUCUCCUCCAGCAGCCGCUUGUUUGUAGCGAAACCUCAGGCCAGUCCAUUACAGACUGCUGUGGGGUGACGCAGCUCAAGGAAGAACAUUUAUGAUCAUGGACUGGCCUGAGGUCUUGCUAAAAACAAGUGGCUGCUGGAGGAGAGUAGGUGAGAUAUGUUUAGUCUCUUUGCUAAAGAAAUUAGGCAAAGUUAAAAAGAUGUUUGGUGGCUAGUACUAUGGCUGGGACCCUAUAUGUACUGUUGAUGAAGUUAGGUGCUGUUCUGAGCAUUAUUUGUGGCUAUAGAGUGACGUUUUGGUUGAGGUUUGUUUAUGGCUCCUCAGACCGCUGUGCAUCGCUAUCAUUACUCAAGUUGGUAAAACUAGAGAAGCAAGCGGUCUGCAACAUUCAUCUCUCAAGGGGGUGUCUAACUUGGUGUCAUGUUGUGUUUGACCCUAAAUUAAUUUUACGCCGGAAAUAUUACAUUUACUACAAUAUACUACAAUACUACAUUUACUUACUAAAGGUUAGCCCUUCUUGUCUCUCUGUGCCAACUUAAAAAAAAUAAACCUUGUGCAAUGACUGACAAUAAAGCAGUGAUGAAUUUACAUGGACAAAUAUGUACUUUUUUUCACUCACUUCUUUGCUCUCCUCCUCCUUCUCUUAGCUGUAUUUUCCCAGUUUUACAUUCUUCAAAGAUGGCGGCCCUCUGCUAAUGUGUGUGCCAAGUGAUGGACUGAAAAGAACACAGAGACGUGGACGCAUCAGUGGAGAAGAAGUGAGACUGCAGGGACUGAGAGUGAGCAGGGCUAACAGGGAGGUAAUGGGACAUAUGUUGGAUGUGGUCACACGGGCUGGAGAAUUACCUGUGGUAAUUGGGGAACAGGGGAAGCAGCAGACAGAUUGUAUUACCUGAAGGACUUACACACCAAUCACACACACACAUACACACACAGGAAACCCAUGGAUCAGAGUAGAAGUAGCUCAGGCAACAUUGUCCAUGAGCUGUUCAGUUGACUUUGACUCCCACAGGUUAAGCGAUAAAAAUAAUCAACUGUAUUGGUUAUGUUUCAUGGUAUGGAGGUGGUUUGCAGGAGUUAUUUUAAAUGCUCUCUGAAUCACAGCUUUCACUCCUAACAUUCUCCCUCUUGUACUUGUAUGUUUCCACUUAGACUACCCAGAGCUGUAGGUCCAAAGGAACUACUUUUUGAAAACCUAGAAGCCUCCUUGUAGCAGCAUGUUGUCUGCAGUUGCAGGUAAAUGUCACUGUAUAUGCAGGAGAUUCGGCAUAUUUGGGUAUAAAAAGGCUUUUUUUUUUUGCACAUUAUUUUUGGAUGUGACAGGAUAACAAUGUCAAAGCCAUAUGAAGUGGUGUCAGAUUGUUAGAGGUCGCCGAUUUGAAUCUUGGUUGUAUUUAGUCCUCAGAAUAAAUGUUUAAUAUGAGUUCAGCUCCCCCUUUGCUGUCAUCUGCAAUUCUGUUGAUGCAUUAAAACUUGGACUAUCAGUGUCAAUGCAUUACUGAUGUUACAGAGGUGCAAAAGUUACACUUUAAAAUAAAAUAUCACUUGCUUUUCUGUUCCUGUUCUGGCUGCCAGUGUGAAAACUGUAAAUAAAGACACCACUGUGCCUUUAAACUGCAAAUUUCACUGAAAACAACUCCCAGAGUUUUCAGUCAGCAUGUCAGAAGUUAUACACACUCUGUGUCAAAGAGAAUAAAAAUAUUACCAAAGCUUAUCAGAAAAUGUUUACAAAGACGGAUACUGGACUACUGCAAGAAUCGAAUCAUUGCUAGAUGCACGUCCACCUCCACUACAGUAGGGGGCGACAUCCCCUUUUCAGCUUUGUACAACUUCAUUUGUUUACCACUCCGCUCCCUGCCAACCUGCUUAUGUUAUUAACCUUUUAGACUAAAGCCUGGGGUGAGAAUUUUGGAACAUGUGCAGACUGCUUAGGCCAGUUUAAGUCCAGUUGAGCUGUGUUCAUGGCAAAAGAAGAAUCAAUCCAAAACGACAUUAUCUAGGCGUAUUUGUCCAACUCAGGCAAUAAAUCAAGCUAAACCCAAUUCAACACAGCUCAACCAUAGACUGUUUAUAGAAUGGACGCCAUCUGCCUGAAGCCACCGUGAGAACAGCACCCUCUGGUGACAGGCUGCAGUAUAGGUCAUAAGUCCCGCCUUGUCCAGCAAUCCCUAUGGAGCCGUUGACAAACUUUGGAAAUAAAUAACACAGAAUAUAAUUUUUUCUCCCCCCUGGUUGUGAUGUUGACAUGUAGUUACUGUCAGACUGGUUUGUG
rnacentral:lncRNA from 1 species